rnacentral:rRNA from 1 species
UACGGGGGGGGCAAGCGUUGUUCGGAAUUACUGGGCGUAAAGGGCUCGUAGGUGGCCAACUAAGUCAGACGUGAAAUCCCUCGGCUUAACCGGGGAACUGCGUCUGAUACUGGUUGGCUUGAGUGUGGGAGAGGGAUGCGGAAUUCCAGGUGUAGCGGUGAAAUGCGUAGAUAUCUGGAGGAACACCGGUGGCGAAGGCGGCAUCCUGGACCAACACUGACGCUGAGGAGCGAAAGCCAGGGGAGCAAACGGG